AAUUUGAAAUCUGGCCCCUUCGGGGUCCGAGUUGUAAUUUGUAGAGAGUGCUUCGGGGGAGACCGCGGUCUAAGUCCAUUGGAACAUGGCGUCCCAGAGGGUGAGAAUCCCGUAUGUGACCGUGGCUCGAACCCAUGUGAAGCCUCUUCGACGAGUCGAGUUGUUUGGGAAUGCAGCUCAAAAUGGGUGGUAAAUUUCAUCUAAAGCUAAAUACGGGCUGGAGACCGAUAGCGCACAAGUAGAGUGAUCGAAAGAUGAAAAGCACUUUGGAAAGAGAGUUAAAAAGUACGUGAAAUUGUUGAAAGGGAAGCGCUGGCAACCAGACCUGCCCGUAGGCGAUCAGCCGCUGUUCUCAGCGGUGCACUCGCUCUGCGAUCAGGCCAGCAUCGGUUCCGGCGGUCGGACAAAGGCCUUGGGAACGUACCUUCCCUUCGGGGGAGUCUUAUAGCCCUCGGUGCAAUGCGGCCAGCCGGGACCGAGGACCGCGCUUCGGCUAGGAUGCUGGCGUAAUGGUUGUC
rnacentral:rRNA from 1 species